rnacentral:misc_RNA from 1 species
GAAAUGCGAUAAGUAAUGUGAAUUGCAGAAUUCAGUGAAUCAUCGAAUCUUUGAACGCACAUUGCGCCCGCCAGUAUUCUGGCGGGCAUGCCUGUCCGAGCGUCAUUUCAACCCUCAAGCCCCAGCCGGCUUGGUGUUGGGGACCGGCCCCGGCCGCCCCCCAAAUGCAGUGGCGACCUCGCCGCAGCCUCCCCUGCGUAGUAGCACAACCUCGCACCGGAGCGCGGAGACGGUCACGCCGUAAAACGCCCAACUUCUCAGAGUUGACCUCGGAUCAGGUAGGAAUACCCGCUGAACUUAA